rnacentral:lncRNA from 7 species
GAAUAGGGGCAAGGCCAUGAGCCUAUCCAGGGACAGAGUGAACUGAGGGAUUAUGAAGAGGUUACUGAUUAGCUGGAGGACAUAUUUAGAAAAAAAUGAGAUGAGAAAUUCAUUGCAAGUGGAUUUUUAAAAAUAAAUAUAGUGGACUUAGCUUUUCAUUGUAUUUUUUUUUCCAUGCAAUGUAUCUGUUAUACAGUGCGUUUCUAUGUAACUGUAUGCCACUAACUAGGUGUACUGUGAAUAUUUAUGUUGACUUAUCCCUUCAAUUUAUCCAUUCAGUUUAUCCAAGAACAAUGAUAUGGCAACAGACAAUGCGUUUUGUAGUUAACAGUAACAUGAGCAGUAAAACUAGGCUUCAGAUUUAAACAUCUGUAUUCUGGGGGUGUCAAGACUUGAGAUUUUCUUAUCAGCAUUUAAUAGGACUGAGAAUGUAGCAGUGAGCUACAAUUGUGCACAUACCAAGAGGGAAAGAAACAAUGUGCACAGGCCCUCUUCAGUUGUUCUUUGAAAUAUCAUGUUGUCCUUGUUCUUCAGACUCAUUUCAGCUCUGUGUUUGGAAAUCGCAUAGAACAGGUGAGGGGGGUUGUGCACAAGAACCCUGCCCUGGCAAAGGCUUGAUUUCAUGAAAAGGGAUUACCCACAAAAAAGCACAGCUGCCAUCAGCCUGACAAUUCACAAAGGAUCAUCUCCUAGUGCCUCAGAAAAGUGUCUUCCCACCUGUGAUGCGGCUUAUGUUACCUGCAGCUUCUGGACAGAAAAUAAGAUCAAUGAAAGAAAGACUUCAAAGGACUACAUGACUUCUGUGGAGAAAACACAGUCAUGGGGAAAAGUUAUCUGCAGCUUCUCCUUCUCAAAUGUUUCAAAAUUUUUGGUGAGCAAGAACAAAAACUACCAAUGAAUCAAGAACUACUGGUGCAGAAACCAUGAGCAUGUCUGACUCAUGCAUAGGCCUUUCCCUUCUGAUCCUCAAGGAUACCUCCUGCUUUGAGCUCUUUGAAACAGGACUUUUAGUGUCACAUCAUGGUUUGAUCUUGACAUACCUCACAUGAGAAACUCCUACUCUUUUUUUUUCCCUCUCUUCUCCCAAAUGUCUUUAAACAAAUAGCAAUCGUGUGAUUUGACUGCUGGUACCUGUCCCUCUUUGCCUCCUGAAAUUUGGUUAAGCCUUUCACCUUUUUUCCUAUUGCCAGGUGACACGUUCUUCCAUCUUAAAGAUCUCCUGUAGUUAACUAAGCAACAUUAUCUUUGUUUAGGAACAUUAUUAUGUUUUGAGGAUUUGCAGCUUUGCUUAGUAUUGCAUUGCAAUGCCUUUUGAUUCAGAAGUUAUCUGAGGACAUGCUUAGAGCUCUGUGACUGCAACAGAUUUUAUAUGACCAGGCUCAUCACUAUUGCUUAUUCAUGUGAACAAAUGAGUGCAGGUCUGUGUGCCUAUAAUGAGGUCUCUGUUGAAGGAUUUAGCUAAAAGAAUGUUUUGGAGUAAUAUCACUUGAGUAUGUUUGACUGGCCAGCCUUGGUAAUGCCUUUAUUUUUUUUCUCUUUCUACUAAAGGUUAAGCUAGAUAUUAAAGAAAGAUUGAAAGAAUACUUAAAAAAAUGUGGAAAAUUAGCAAGCUGGAAAGAUAAACUUGUAUAUUUUCAAUAAAUUGUGAUUCUU